rnacentral:lncRNA from 1 species
CUGCAAGCUGAGGGAGCCGGCUCUGGCCUUGGCCAGCCUAGAAAGGGGCUCCCACAGUGCAGUGGUGGGCUGAAGGGCUCCUCAAAUGCCGCCAAAGUGGGAGCCCAGGCAGAGGAGGUGCCAAGAGCAAGCGAGGGCUCUGAGGACUGCCAGCACGCUGUCACCUGUCAUUAUCAACAACUUGACUAAAAUACCUCUGUGUUUGAAGAGGAAGCCAGAGAAAUUAGAAACAAGAGAAACAUUUGAUGCAUUAUUGCUGACUUGAAGAUGGAGAGAGGUUCCCCUGAGCAUACAGGAGUACUCCAUGAAGACUGCAAUGGCUUCCCUCUCACAAACUGCAUGCACGUCCAGCAGCUCCUGGAGUGUGUCUGUGGGGAAUCUCACUUGCUGGGCCAUCUGCUGGCUGUAGUGGUUGGCUGCCCUCUGCACGGCUGCUGAGUUCUCACACUGGGCCAGAACUGCCAUUGCAUUCUCCAGACAAGGAGUCGCUCCACUGUUGAUGGCAUCCAGAGACCAUCAAGCUUCAGAAGAUCAUGUGACAAAUGUUCCAGCCAGUUCCAGUUGAAGACACCACCCCUGGCCAUCAAGAAGCUACUCUGCCUCCACUAGACAGAGCAGGGUGACAGUUCCGUGAUCCCCAAUAGGUAGGGACUUUGCUUCAAGCCAGCAUGAGGCAGUUACAGAAGAAAGACCAUUAGUCACUCCACCUCCCAUAAAGAUUUAUGGGGAUGACAUCUCUCAGGGAGGAAAUGAGGCAGGAAAAUAGGAUCUGGAGGCAUAGAACAUAAGGCCUAUUCACACUUCAGCUAUGCCGGGAAAUAUUAUCUCCAUUUACAUAGGGCAUACACAAAGUAACCAAUGGAAACCUCUAGAGGGUAUUUAAAUCCCCCAAAAUUCUGUAACAGGACCCUUGAGCCCCUAUGCUUGGGCCCACUCCCACACUGUGGAGUGUACUUCCAUUUUCAAUAAAUAUCUGCUUUUGUUGCU